rnacentral:rRNA from 1 species
GAGUUUGAUCGUGGCUCAGAACGAACGCUGGCGGCAGGCUUAACACAUGCAAGUCGAACGCCCCGCAAGGGGAGUGGCAGACGGGUGAGUAACACGUGGGAACGUGCCCUAAGGUUUGGAAUAUUCCCGGGAAACUGGGAGCAAUACCAAAUGUGUCCGCAAGGAGAAAGAUUUAUCGCCUUAGGAUCGGCCCGCGUCAGAUUAGGUAGUUGGUGGGGUAAUGGCCUACCAAGCCGACGAUCUGUAGCUGGUCUGAGAGGACGACCAGCCACACUGGGACUGAGACACGGCCCAGACUCCUACGGGAGGCAGCAGUGGGGAAUCUUGGACAAUGGGCGAAGCCUGAUCCAGCCAUGCCGCGUGGAUGAUGAAGGCCCUAGGGUUGUAAAAUCCUUUCGUUGGGGACGAUAAUGACGGUACCCAAGAAGAAGCUCCGGCUAACUUCGUGCCAGCCGCCGCCGUAA